rnacentral:lncRNA from 10 species
CCGCCGCGGCGGCCAGCGCGCCUGCGCCCCAAAGCUAGGCCCGGCCCCAAGCGCGAGGAGCGGGGCGGGGCGAGCGCGCGUGCUCCCGGAUCCUCGGCAGUGUCCGGCGCCCCCUUCCCUUCGCCAGGCCCGUUUGGCGCCUUCACUCGGGAAGACGUCGGCCAGGACUUUGCGCUUUGGAGACGUCUUACUUCGGCAGCACUCGCACACUGCGAGAUCCGACACGGGCAGCGGGGACCUAGGGAGCCGGGGACGCUGCCUGUCGGGUACGGUUCCGCAGCUACCGCAGCCCCGUGGGCCAUGGUUAGUCUCCCCCCGACACCGCUCCCUCUAGAGCUCCGGGCUUCGGAAGCGGCUGCACGUGGGCAUGGCUGGAGAGGUUCCGCUGGCUUGGGGCAGUCGCCGGGAUUCCGACUGGUUGGUGUGGGGUGUGGCCUGUGCUAUCCAGCUCCCAGCUGAUCCUAAUGUGCGGCACAGCGGAAACCACCGGUCCACAUCAGUGCUUCUCACUUAAAGGGGCUUACGAAUCGUCGGGGGUGGGGGAGCUGGACUUGGAAUUUUUUAAGAGAUGAGGUCUCACUCUGUCACCCAGGCUGGAGUGCAGUGGCGCGAUUACGGCUCACUGCAGACUAGACCUCCUGGGCUCAACUUUAAUGUAAAUUGGGAUUGGGUAGGUCUGUAAGGGGACCCGAGCUCCCCUCCCAUGUUGUUGCCAAGCUCCUGAGCUCGGCCUGGUGGCGGGUGGGGGCCGGGAGGAGAAGGACACGUUAGUAAGGAAGCUGCAGGACGACUCCAGGGGCCUCCCACCUGGUCUCCACCCCCCUCCCCCACCCAUUCUUGACGCUGCAUCCAUGAUUGUUCUAAACAACCUAAAGCAGAAAUCUUAGAGCAAAUAACGAAAACUGGCAGAAGGCCAUUUGAUAUCUCCUUAAAAAAUUCAUGUAAAAAAUUACAUAAACGUUUCAAAGCAGUAUGUAUAAAUUUGAAAUACUGGAAAUGAACGCAGACCAUUAAAGGAAUAGUUAAUUAUUUGAUUCCAUUAUGAAAUACUGUCUAGCCGUCUUAAAAAGGUGUUCAUGAAGCUUUUAGUAUUCAGCAAAACCAAAACAAAUCCCCCUGAAAUAUAGUUUUAACUAUGGAAGAAAAAAAUGUAUAGGAAAAUAACGAAAUAGCCUUUUCGGAGUGAUUUUCUUUUUAACUUCUCGAGCCCACCAAGGAGCGGCCAUCGCUACUCACUGGCCACUCUUGAAUCCUUUUUGGCUCCUUUUCCUCAGUCCAACCUGGGUUCCUCAGAGAAGAGACUGUAGUCCUGGGACUGCAUUUCUUUUCCGCCCUCUCCCUAUGUGACUGCCCCAAUUCCCAUGGAUUUAAAUAGCAUCUUGACACACAAGAUGCCUCACUUAUCGUCUCCGGCCCUGGCCUCUGCCUGAAUUCCAGGCUAGAAUAUCCACAGUGCGUAAUGGACAUAUGCCCUUAGGUGUUGCACAAACAUCUCAAAUUGAACAUAUCCGGAAAAAUACACUUCUGAACUUCGUAGCAUUCAGAAUAAAACUCAAACCUCCAGAUGGCCGGCAGGGCCUCCAGUGAUGGGAAUCCUGUCUCACCUCACUUGGUGCCACUCUCCCCUUUACUCAUUUUCCUGGCCUUUCCCCGGCCCCACUUACCCAGAAAUCUUUUACUGUGCAUCUCCUAUGUGCCAGGCACCUGAUAGGUGCUGGGAAUAUAGCAGUGGAUGAGAAAGAAAAAAGACCCAGUCCUCAUGGAGCUGACUUCCUAGUGACAGGAGCAGCGGAUAAAGCAAAUCACUGAAGGCAGCUGGAAAUUACUUUCCGGUUAAGAGGACAGGCUCCUUCCCCUCCUCACAUGGCUACCUUCAGAUCACUUGGGUCUCAGCUUAAACACCACCUAUUGACAGAGGCCUCGCAUGUUACCUCAUUCUUUAGCCCUACUUUGCAUCCUUAAAAAGCACUCAUCAAAAUUUGCAAUUAUCUUGUCGGGUUUUUGUUCUUUGGUCUUGAUUCAUAAUGAAUGCAUCGCACUAUUUUGUAAAUCCAGUGUUUCGUUUCGUGUCUUGAAUCCCAUCCAUUCCAGCGCAUAGAUGAGGCCCUGUCUGUUCAACAUUCAUCACCGUGUUUACUAUCUAGAGCAGCAAUUCUCAAAGUAUGGUAAUUGGGACCCGAAGACUCUUCACAGGGUUCAUGAGCGCAAAACUAUUUUCAGACCAACAUGUUCUCUGCCUUCCUUCGCUCAUGAGUACAUAGUGGAAUUUUCUAGAGGUUACACAAUUUGAAUAUUGCAACACAUUGAACGAAGACGCAGGUACCAGAACAUAGCUAUCUCCUAUUAAGCCAGACAUUAAAGAGAUUUGAAAAAAUACAAAAUACUGCUUUUGGCUAGGCAAAGUGGCUCGCACGUAUAAUCUUGGCACUUUGGGAGGCUGAGGAAUUGCUAGAGACCAGCCAGGGCAACCCUACUAAAAAAUUAGCUGGGCGUGGUGGCACAUGCCUGGGGUCCCAGCUACUCAGGAAGCUGAGGUGGGAGGAUCGCUUGAGCCCAGGAGUUUGAGGGUGUAGUGAGCUAUGAUCAAACCACUACAUUGCAGCCUGGGCAACAGAGCAAGACCCUGUCUCAAGACAAAAAACAAAAAAUAAAACCCCAGAUACCACCCUUGCCACUAAUUUUUUGUCUUAGAAAAAUUAUUUCUCAUAAAAAAUUAACUUUAUUACUUAGAAAUAAUUUUUAAAAUUGGUUUUAAUUUCCAUAUGGUAACUAUAGUUAUAUAACUACAUUUUAUGUAUAUGUAACAAACAAAAGCUCUAUGGGUUCUCAACAUGUUAUUUUUUAAGACUAUAAAGGGUUCCUGGGACUAAAAUGUUUGAGGGUGUUGGUAAAUCCUGGCUAUAAAUGGAGAGAGAAAUAAAAAGCCACUGAGAGACACACACCAGGGUCCUCAAGGGAAAAGUAGAGAAUCAUGACCCUUUCCCAGUAUUUUUUUCACAAAGACCACAUGAUUUCUGGAGUGUCUCCUCUUCUACUGAAAUAAACGUUCUCUUCUGAGAGGCAAAGAAUCAUAGAAUGAACACUAGAUUAAGAAUGUGAAUUUAAAUGAAAUAAUCCAUGUAAUGUGCUUAAAAUAGUAAGCAGUCAAGAAAAAUUAAGUUUACAAAAUAAGCAUCUGAAUGUUAGUUCAAAAUCCACCAUUUAUUCACUGUGAGACCUUGGAUACUUUAUUUAACUGCUGUGAAUCUAUUAUCUGGAAAACAGAAAUAACCAAGGCCAUAUUACUCUCUACAUAGUACAACUACUCGUGGAAUUGUGAUGAGAUCAAAAUUUUAAAAUGAGAUAAUGAAUUAAAGCAAAUAACAGUAUUAUAUGGUCAC